GACAGAGGGUGCAAACGUUGCUCGGAAUUACUGGGCGUAAAGGGCGUGUAGGCGGGAAGGCAAGUCGGGCGUGAAAUCCCUAGGCUCAACCUAGGAACUGCACUCGAAACUGCCUUUCUUGAGUGUCGGAGAGGAAAGCGGAAUUCCUGGUGUAGAGGUGAAAUGCGUAGAUAUUGGGAGGAACACCAGUGGCGAAGGCGGCUCACUGGACCGGAACUGACGCUGAGGCGCGAAAGCGUGGGGAGCAAACGGG
rnacentral:rRNA from 1 species